CGGAACGGGUGGGUAAUGCGUGACCAACCUGCCCCAUGCUCCAGAAUAGCUCUUGGAAACGGGUGGUAAUGCUGGAUGCUCCAACUUGACGCAUGUCUUGUUGGGAAAGUGUUUAGUGGCAUGGGAUGGGGUCGCGUCCUAUCAGCUUGUAGGCGGGGUAAUGGCCCACCUAGGCUUCGACGGGUAGCCGGCCUGAGAGGGCGGACGGCCACAUUGGGACUGAGAUACGGCCCAGACUCCUACGGGAGGCAGCAGCG
rnacentral:rRNA from 1 species